rnacentral:misc_RNA from 1 species
AAGAGUUGCAAAACUCCCUUAAACCAUCGCGAACGUUACCCCAUACCCGUUGCUUCGGCGGGCAGGCCAACCCUUCACGGGGCGUCUCCCCGGCCCCCUUCGCGGGGGCGCUCGCCGGAGCGGCACAACCCAACUCUUAUUAUUAUUGGCCUCUCUGAGUAAGAUUUUUAAAUAAGUCA